UACGUAGGGUGCGAGCGUUGUCCGGAAUUAUUGGGCGUAAAGAGCUCGUAGGCGGUUUGUCGCGUCUGCUGUGAAAACCCGAGGCUCAACCUCGGGCCUGCAGUGGGUACGGGCAGACUAGAGUGCGGUAGGGGAGAUUGGAAUUCCUGGUGUAGCGGUGGAAUGCGCAGAUAUCAGGAGGAACACCAAUGGCGAAGGCAGAUCUCUGGGCCGUAACUGACGCUGAGGAGCGAAAGCAUGGGGAGCUAACAGG
rnacentral:rRNA from 1 species